rnacentral:rRNA from 1 species
AAUCAACGCUGGCGGCGUGCCUCAGACAUGCAAGUCGAACGAUUAAAGCUCCCUUCGGGGAGUGCAUAAAGUGGCGCACGGGUGAGUAACACGUAAGUAAUCUACCCUCGGGUGGGGAAUAACAUCGGGAAACCGAUGCUAAUACCGCAUAAUGCAGCGGCACCGCAAGGUGACAGUUGUUAAAGAUUUAUUGCCUGGGGAGGAGCUUGCGGCAGAUUAGCUUGUUGGUAAGGAACGGCUUACCAAGGCUACGAUCUGUAUCCGGUCUAAGAGGACGGUCGGACACACUGACACUGAAUAACGGGUCAGACUCCUACGGGAGGCAGCAGUCGGGAAUUUUGGGCAAUGGGGGAAACCCUGACCCAGCAACGCCGCGUGAA